rnacentral:rRNA from 1 species
UACGUAGGGUGCAAGCGUUGGCCGGAAUUAUUGGGCGUAAAGAGCUCGUAGGCGGUUUGUCGCGUCUGCUGUGAAAACUCGGGGCUUAACCCCGGGCCUGCAGUGGGUACGGGCAGACUAGAGUGCGGUAGGGGAGACUGGAAUUCCUGGUGUAGCGGUGAAAUGCGCAGAUAUCAGGAGGAACACCGGUGGCGAAGGCGGGUCUCUGGGCCGUAACUGACGCUGAGGAGCGAAAGCGUGGGGAGCGAACAGG